rnacentral:tRNA from 1 species
UCACUAUGAAGCUAAGCUAGCACUAGCCUUUUAAGCUAGAGAGUGGGAGUUGAUUGACCCUCCCCAUAGUGAA